ACCUGUGUGGAGUAGUGGUUAACUCACCGGACUCCGACACUCUAUAGUCAGUAAGCCGGGUACCCGGGUUCGAAUCCCGGCGCAGGUG